UACAGAGGGUGCGAGCGUUAAUCGGAAUUACUGGGCGUAAAGCGUGCGUAGACGGUUACGUAAGUCGGAUGUGAAAUCCCCGGGCUCAACCUGGGAAUUGCAUUCGAGACUGCGCAGCUGGGGUGCGGAAGAGGGAAGCGGAAUUUCCGGUGUAGCGGUGAAAUGCGUAGAUAUCUGGAGGAACACCGGUGGCGAAGGCGGCAUCCUGGACCGACACUGACGCUGAGGAGCGAAAGCCAGGGGAGCAAACGGG
rnacentral:rRNA from 1 species